AACGCUGGCGGCGGCCUAAACAUGCAAGUCGAACGCCCGUAGCAAUACGGGAGUGGCAGACGGGAGAGUAACACGUGGGAACGUGCCCUUCAGUUCGGAACAACCCAGGGAAACUUGGGCUAAUACCGGAUACGUCCGUAAGGAGAAAGAUUUAUCGCUGAAGGAUCGGCCCGCGUCUGAUUAGCUAGUUGGUGAGGUAAUGGCUCACCAAGGCGACGAUCAGUAGCUGGUCUGAGAGGAUGAUCAGCCUCACUGGGACUGAGACACGGCCCAGACUCCUACGGGAGGCAGCAGUGGGGAAUCUUGGACAAUGGGCGCAAGCCUGAUCCAGCCAUGCCGCGUGGGUGAUGAAGGCCCUAGGGUUGUAAAGCCCUUUCGGCGGGGAAGAUAAUGACGGUACCCGCAGAAGAAGCCCCGGCUAACUUCGUGCCAGCAGCCGCGGUAAUACGAAGGGGGCUAGCGUUGCUCGGAAUCACUGGGCGUAAAGCGCACGUANGCGGAUUGCUAAGUCAGGGGUGAAAUCCUGGAGCUCAACUCCAGAACUGCCUUUGAUACUGGCGGUCUC
rnacentral:rRNA from 1 species